UACAGAGGGUGCGAGCGUUAAUCGGAAUUACUGGGCGUAAAGCGCACGUAGGUGGCGACGUAAGUCGGGUGUGAAAGCCCCGGGGUCAACCUGGGAAUUGCAUUCGAGACUGCAUUGCUGGAGUACGGAAGAGGAGGGCGGAAUUCCCGGUGUAGCGGUGAAAUGCGUAGAUAUCGGGAGGAACAUCAGUGGCGAGGGCGGCCCUCUGGUCCAGUACUGACACUCAAGUGCGACAGCGUGGGGAGCAAACAGG
rnacentral:rRNA from 1 species